GGCCGAAAAAGGACUUAAGUUGAUAAGGGGAGGGAAAGCAGAACAAGUGGGAUAAAGAGGGGAAAAUGAAGGUGCUCCAAUUGCCUCAGCAGUUAUGUCCAUUCGCCGGCCAUUCUCGACCUACUAUUUGCCAUAAUCUCAAGCCCAGAGCACUUUCCAACCAUGAUUCCACCACUCAAUUUGAUCUUUCGUUAACCCUCAAGAGGAAAGCAGCAGAGAUAUCCCCAGACUUGAAAGGAACUUGUUUAUUCCUUGUUGGAAUAAACAGCUCCAUCAAAUCCAACUCCGCUCAACUUCUUGCAGAGGCACUGCGCUAUUAUUAUUUUGACAGUGAUAGUGUCGUUGAAGAAGCUUUGGGAGGAAAGGAUGCUGUCAGGUCGUUUAUGAAGACAGACUUGAAGGGAUUUCGAGAUUCCGAGACGGAGGUACUGAAGCAGUUGUCAUCAAUGGGUCGCCUUGUUGUUUGUGCUGGGAACGGUGCAGUUCAGUGUGCAACUAAUCUGGCGCUUAUGAGACACGGGAUAUCAAUAUGGAUCGAUGUCCCCUUGGAUAUGGUAGCCAAGCAGAUUGUGGAGGAGAAUUUUCAACCUCCUGCUGCUGAAACAAUAAAUGGAUCAUAUUCCGAGGUGUUGACUCAAUUAACUGCUAUUUAUGAAGAUAGCCGCAAUGGAUAUGCUACAGCUGAUACAACUAUUGCACUACAGAAUAUUGCUUCUCGGUUAGGCUAUGAUACAUUGGAUGCAGUGACCACAGAAGAUAUGGUUUUGGAGACUCUGAAGGAGAUAGAGAGAUUGAUGAGAGCAAAGAAGUUGAUGGAAGAAGCUGCCAGGCCAUUUUAGUUUCAAUUCACCACCAAUACCAAUUAUUUUGAAUCAAUUUAUUGUUUGGAACCAUAAGUGCUGAGCUGAAGUUGGAGAACGAUGGCAAUACUUGAUGCUCUUGCAGUUGUAUGACUUCUGGUAUUGUGAGCGCAAAUCUUAAUUAUCGUGUAUGUAUGUCAUGCAAUCAAACAGAGAUGGAUCUAGCUCUAAUUCAUUGGGUUCAAUCGAACACCAAUGAAUUCAGGGAAAAUGGCCAGCGUGGUAAUCUGAGGAAGAGUAAUAAAGGCAUCCUAAAAUGACCAUUUGGAAAAAGGGUGGCAAUGGUGGAUCUGUGUCUUACUAUUGGAUUGAAAAGAGGGAAGGAAUAGGAAGAGUUGUAGGUUAAGGAGGCAUCGGUCAAAUGUGGUAUCUGCUCAGACCUCCCCGGCUACUGUCUACAUGGUUCAUCUGUGUGUAUGCAGGACGUUACAAGCUUACUUCUAUAAGCAACCAUACUGUACAGACGAGGGUCAAACCAAACACUUUUUUUUUCUCUCCUUUUGUUCUAAUUUAAUUUCUUAGUUUUUCUCAAUACUACGCACUAAUCUAUACAAGGUGGUCCGACACCCAACUAUAAAUUUCAAGUAUGCGUCCAUAAGCAGGAAUAACAUAUUAAUUCCUUGAUGAGAUGUAAUUCCUUAAUAGAACAAAUAAAUUAAAUUUGAUGUGUGUUCAAUCUUGAA